rnacentral:rRNA from 1 species
UACGUAGGGUGCAAGCGUUGUCCGGAAUUAUUGGGCGUAAAGAGCUCGUAGGCGGUCUGUCGCGUCGGCUGUGAAAACCCAGGGCUCAACCCUGGGCCUGCAGUCGAUACGGGCAGACUAGAGUCCGGCAGGGGAGACUGGAAUUCCUGGUGUAGCGGUGAAAUUCGUAGAUAUUGGGAGGAACACCGGUGGCGAAGGCGGCCAUUUGGGCUGUAACUGACGCUGAGGCGCGAAAGCGUGGGUAGCAAACAGG